UUUAAUUCUAUUUUCUUCCCCGACUUCUCUCUUCUCUCUCCUCUCCCCCGUGGUUUUUCUUUUCUUUCUGGGCAUUCUUCCUCCACCUGCAGCGCCACCGUCCGGCCACGCCAAGUCGCUCCCAAGGGCUCCACAACCUCGCAUCGACCUCAUCUAGCUGCUGGACGUGACCUUUUCCACCGGACCGGCCUCAAAUCCGGUAGAUCGGAGCUGCAAACUUUGAAACCAAAAACGGUCAAUGCCAGUUUUCUCCUAGCUCCGGACACCAAAACUCAAGAUCCUUAGCUCCCUGAACUCGCCUUAACUUCUUGAUCAAGCACCAAGAAGGACCUGACCUGGGUAGAUUGUUUUCACGUUCGUCGGAGCUUGCCUUUAUCUAGAUCGAAAACCAACUUUCGAUCCCGAUACCUCAUACUACCGGCCAUCAUUUCUUGUGUUUCUUGAACUGGUGAACUCAGAUUGAGGAUCUGAACAAGUUUCACGAAGGGAUCGAGCCGAGUGGUGGACCUUUUUACGUCGAUCGGAGCACCUACUAGAUUCUGGAAAAAUUUCGGCCACCCGCGACAGUUUUCGGUGAUUGACGGUUUUUACUUGGGUGAGCAAGUCGGUUGUGAAUUGUGUUAAAUUGAAGACGCAGCGGGAAUAUCGAGCGGACAAUCCUGCAGGACAGAAGAACCAGGGUGGUGAUCGUGCGGUUUAGAGUGAUUUAUUUGUUGUACAAUAUUGUAUCGUGAGGUGUGUUAUGCUCUUUUGAGCAUUGCAAUUUAAUUUAGUGAGAGUGUGUUGUAAUAAGUAACUUGAGGAUUUGGGUUUUGUAAUAUUGAAUAGUGUGAGAUGUGUUUGUUCUGAGGAAAAAUUUCAGAACGUUAUUUAUAAUAAUUAUUAUUCAUGUUUCGGAUUUGAA